rnacentral:rRNA from 1 species
GAUGAACGCUGGCGGCGUGCCUAAUACAUGCAAGUCGAGCGAACGGACGAGAAGCUUGCUUCUCUGAUGUUAGCGGCGGACGGGUGAGUAACACGUGGAUAACCUACCUAUAAGACUGGGAUAACUUCGGGAAACCGUAGCUAAUACCGGAUAAUAUUUUGAACCGCAUGGUUCAAAAGUGAAAGACGGUCUUGCUGUCACUUAUAGAUGGAUCCGCGCUGCAUUAGCUAGUUGGUAAGGUAACGGCUUACCAAGGCAACGAUGCAUAGCCGAAGUGAGGGGGUGAUCGGCCACACUGGAACUGAGACACGGUCCAGACUCCUACGGGAGGCAGCAGUAGGGAAUCUUCCGCAAUGGGCGAAAGCCUGACGGAGCAACGCCGCGUGAGUGAUGAAGGUCUUCGGAUCGUAAAACUCUGUUAUUAGGGAAGAACAUAUGUGUAAGUAACUGUGCACAUCUUGACGGUACCUAAUCAGAAAGCCACGGCUAACUACGUG